AAUAGAUACCCCGGUAGUCCUAGCCGUAAACGAUACUCGCUAGGUGUCGGCCACGGUGCGACCGUUGUCGGUGCCGUAGGGAAGCCGUGAAGCGAGCCACCUGGGAAGUACGGCCGCAAGGCUGAAACUUAAAGGAAUUGGCGGGGGAGCACCACAACGGGUGGAGCUUGCGGUUUAAUUGGAUUCAACGCCGGAAAUCUUACCGGGACCGACAGCAAUAUGAAGGCCAGGCUGAAGACUUUGCCGGAUUAGCUGAGAGGUGGUGCAUGGCCGUCGUCAGUUCGUACUGUGAAGCAUCCUGUUAAGUCAGGCAACGAGCGAGACCCACGCCCACAGUUGCCAGCGUACUCUCUGGAGUGACGGGUACACUGUGGGGACCGCCGCUGCUAAAGCGGAGGAAGGAAUGGGCAACGGUAGGUCAGUAUGCCCCGAAUAUCCCGGGCUACACGCGAGCUACAAUGGUUGGUACAAUGGGUAUCUACCCCGAAAGGGGACGGGAAUCUCCUAAAACCAAUCUUAGUUCGGAUUGAGGGCUGCAACUCGCCCUCA
rnacentral:rRNA from 1 species